rnacentral:rRNA from 1 species
UACGUAGGGGGCAAGCGUUGUCCGGAAUCAUUGGGCGUAAAGAGCGUGUAGGCGGCCCGAUAAGUCCGCUGUGAAAGUCCAGGGCUCAACCCUGGAAUGCCAGUGGAAACUGUCGGGCUAGAGUCCGGAAGAGGCGAGUGGAAUUCCUGGUGUAGCGGUGAAAUGCGCAGAUAUCAGGAGGAACACCAAUGGCGAAGGCAGCUCGCUGGGACGGUUACUGACGCUGAGACGCGAAAGCGUGGGGAGCGAACAGG